rnacentral:rRNA from 1 species
CACGUAGGGUGCGAGCGUUGUCCGGAAUUAUUGGGCGUAAAGAGCUCGUAGGCGGUGUGUCGCGUCGGCCGUGAAAACCUGCAGCUUAACUGUGGGCGUGCGGUCGAUACGGGCAUCACUGGAGUUCGGCAGGGGAGACUGGAAUUCCUGGUGUAGCAGUGAAAUGCGUAGAUAUCAAGCGGAACACCAGUGGCGAAGGCGAGUCCCUGGACAACUCCUGACACUGAGGCACGAAAGCUAGGGGAGCAAACAGG